ACGCUCGACACCUACGGGAGGCAGCAGUGAGGGAUAUUGGUCAAUGGGGGAAACCCUGAACCAGCAACGCCGCGUGAGGGAUGACGGCCUUCGGUUGUAAACCUCUGUCCUCUGUGAAGAUAAUGACGGUAGCAGAGGAGGAAGCUCCGGCUAACUACGUGCAAGCAGCCGCGGUAAUCUGAGGCGGGCUGGACAAGGC
rnacentral:rRNA from 1 species